UACGUAGGGUGCGAGCGUUAAUCGGAAUUACUGGGCGUAAAGCGUGCGCAGGCGGCGCGCCAAGCUCGAUGUGAAAGCCCCGGGCUUAACCUGGGAAUUGCAUUGAGGACUGGCGUGCUCGAGUGCGGCAGAGGGGGGUGGAAUUCCACGUGUAGCAGUGAAAUGCGUAGAGAUGUGGAGGAACACCGAUGGCGAAGGCAGCCCCCUGGGCCGACACUGACGCUCAUGCACGAAAGCGUGGGGAGCAAACAGG
rnacentral:rRNA from 1 species